rnacentral:rRNA from 1 species
UACGUAGGGUGCGAGCGUUUAAUCGGAAUUACUGGGCGUAAAGCGUGCGCAGGCGGCGCGUUAAGACAGGUGUGAAAGCCCCGAGCUUAACUUGGGAAUUGCGCUUGUGACUGGCGUGCUGGAGUGUGGCAGAGGGAGGUGGAAUUCCACGUGUAGCAGUGAAAUGCGUAGAGAUGUGGAGGAACACCGAUGGCGAAGGCAGCCCCCUGGGCUAAGAUUGACGCUCAUGCACGAAAGCGUGGGGAGCAAACAGG